GAGUGGCAAACGGGUGAGUAACGCGUAGACAACCUGCCGUAAAGAUGGGGACAACAGUUCGAAAGGACUGCUAAUACCGAAUGUUGUAGAGUUUCCGCAUGGGGAUUCUACUAAAGGUGGCCUCUACUUGUAAGCUAUCGCUUUACGAUGGGUCUGCGUCUGAUUAGCUAGUUGGUGGGGUAACGGCCUACCAAGGUGACGAUCAGUAGCCGGUCUGAGAGGAUGAACGGCCACAUUGGAACUGAGACACGGUCCAGACUCCUACGGGAGGCAGCAGUGGGGAAUCUUCCGCAAUGGGCGCAAGCCUGACGGAGCAACGCCGCGUGAGUGAAGAAGGGUUUCGACUCGUAAAGCUCUGUUGUCGGGGACGAAUGUGGAGAUGGUGAAUAACCAUUUUCAAUGACGGUACCUGACGAGGAAGCCACGGCUAACUACGUGCCAGCAGCCGCGGUAAUACGUAGGUGGCGAGCGUUGUCCGGAUUAUUGGGCGUAAGGGAGCGCAGGCGGGAGGUAAGUUAUCUUAAAAGUGCGGGGCUCAACCCCGUGAGGGGAUGGAAACUAUCUUUCUUGAGUGCAGGAGAGGAAAGCGGAAUUCCUAGUGUAGCGGUGAAAUGCGUAGAUAUUAGGAGGAAC
rnacentral:rRNA from 1 species